rnacentral:rRNA from 1 species
UNUGACUUGAGUGCAGAAGGGGAGAGUGGAAUUCCAUGUGUAGCGGUGAAAUGCGUAGAUAUAUGGAGGAACACCAGAGGCGAAAGCGGCUCUCUGGUCUGUCACUGACGCUGAGGCUCGAAAGCGUGGGUAGCGAACAGGAUUAGAUACCCUGGUAGUCCACGCCGCAAACGAUGAGUGCUAGGUGUUAGGCCCUUUCCGGGGCUUAGUGCCGGAGCUAACGCAAUAAGCACUCCGCCUGGGGAGUACGACCGCAAGGUUGAAACUCAAAGGAAUUGAUGGGGGCCCGCACAAGCGGUGGAGCAUGUGGUUUAAUUCGAAGCAACGCGAAGAACCUUACCAGGUCUUGACAUCCCGAUGCUAUUCUUAGAGAUAGGAAGUUACUUCGGUACAUCGGAGACAGGUGGUGCAUGGUUGUCGUCAGCUCGUGUCGUGAGAUGUUGGGUUAAGUCCCGCAACGAGCGCAACCCUUAUUGUUAGUUGCCAUCAUUAAGUUGGGCACUCUAGCGAGACUGCCGGUAAUAAACCGGAGGAAGGUGGGGAUGACGUCAAAUCAUCAUGCCCCUUAUGACCUGGGCUACACACGUGCUACAAUGGUCGGUACAACGAGUUGCGAGCCGGUGACGGCAAGCUAAUCUCUGAAAGCCGAUCUCAGUUCGGAUUGGAGGCUGCAACUCGCCUCCAUGAAGUCGGAAUCGCUAGUAAUCGCGGAUCAGCACGCCGCGGUGAAUACGUUCCCGGGCCUUGUACACACCGCCCGUCACACCACGAGAGUUUGUAACACCCGAAGUCGGUGAGGUANCCUUUUAGGG